GCCUUCUGAAGUGGUAUGGGGUUCCUCUGUAUCGGCAGACACCUGAAGCCUUCUGAUGUGCCUUGCUGGGAAGACUGAUGGACAGCUCUGGGCCACCACAUGCACUGAUGUGACUAGAGAUAUAUGUGGUUGUACAAGAGUCACCAACAAGAGCAGGAUUUGCAGCUCUUCCCGAGGGUCUGCAGCAGCUGCUGUGGUGCUUUGCCCACAGAGGCAGGGCUGAAGCCCAGGCAGCUGAGCCAGAGCACCAAGGGUUUGUGCCAGUCUCCACAAGUUGACUGCCACCUACAGUGCUCAGCACAGCCAAGUGACUGUGUGUUUUUUGUGUCUGUUGCAAAUGAUGGUUACUGCAUCCAAAGAUGCACAAAUGGCAUCUGCCUAUGCCCAGAGCCAGGUGUCACCCCAAGCAGGUAGGAGUGAAUGCCUCUCUGGAGAUAGUCUCUGCUUUCCAACCCAGUACAGGUGCCUUUUUCACGCCCUUGUUCCCCAUUAGGCUGAAAACAGCCGCUAUACCACUGCCUGCUUCUCUCCUGAAUACCAGUCUGUUCCACUUACUGAGGUCUCCCUGAGGUGGCCAGAUUAA